UACGGGGGGGGCAAGCGUUGUUCGGAAUUACUGGGCGUAAAGGGCUCGUAGGCGGCCAACUCAGUCAGACGUGAAAUCCCUCGGCUUAACCGGGGAACUGCGUCUGAUACUGGUUGGCUUGAGUGUGGGAGAGGGAUGCGGAAUUCCAGGUGUAGCGGUGAAAUGCGUAGAUAUCUGGAGGAACACCGGUGGCGAAGGCGGCAUCCUGGACCACGACUGACGCUGAGGAGCGAAAGCCAGGGGAGCAAACGGG
rnacentral:rRNA from 1 species